rnacentral:rRNA from 1 species
AUGCUGGAGGUAUCAGAAGUGCGAAUGCUGACGUGAGUAACGACAAAACGGGUGAAAAACCCGUUCGCCGAAAGACCAAGGGUUCCAGUCCAACGUUAAUCGGGGCUGGGUGAGUCGACCCCUAAGGCGAGGCCGAAAGGCGUAGUCGAUGGGAAAAUGGUUAAUAUUCCAUUACUUCUGUGUAAUGCGAUGAGAGGACGGAGAAGGCUAAAUCAGCCUGGCGUUGGUUGUCCAGGUGAAAGGAUGUAGGCAUGUAUCUUAGGCAAAUCCGGGGUACUCUAUGCUGAGAUCUGAUAGCAAGCUGUACUUGUACAGCGAAGUGGUUGAUGCCAUGCUUCCAGGAAAAGUCUCUAAGCUUCAGUUACACAGGAAUCGUACCCGAAACCGACACAGGUGGUCAGGUCGAGUAGACCAAGGCGCUUGAGAGAACUCUGCUGAAGGAACUAGGCAAAAUGGUACCGUAACUUCGGGAGAAGGUACGCUGUUGUUGGUGAUGGAACUCGCUUCCUGAGCUGACGACAGCCGCAGAAACCAGGCCGCUGCAACUGUUUAUUAAAAACAUAGCACUCUGCAAACACGAAAGUGGACGUAUAGGGUGUGAUGCCUGCCCGGUGCUGGAAGGUUAAUUGAUGGGGUUAGCGUAAGCGAAGCUCUUGAUCGAAGCCCCAGUAAACGGCGGCCGUAACUAUAACGGUCCUAAGGUAGCGAAAUUCCUUGUCGGGUAAGUUCCGACCUGCACGAAUGGCAUAAUGAUGGCGGCGCUGUCUCCAGCAGAGGCUCAGUGAAAUCGAAAUCGCUGUGAAGAUGCAGUGUACCCGCGGCUAGACGGAAAGACCCCGUGAACCUUUACUGCAGCUUGACACUGAACUUUGACCUUACUUGUGUAGGAUAGGUGGGAGGCUUUGAAGCUGGAACGCUAGUUCCAGUGGAGCCGUCCUUGAAAUACCACCCUGGUAAUGUUGAGGUUCUAACUCUGUCCCGUGAUCCGGGACGAGGACCGUGUCUGGUGGGUAGUUUGACUGGGGCGGUCUCCUCCUAAAGAGUAACGGAGGAGUACGAAGGNNNNNNNNNNNNNGNNNGNAANNNNNNNNNNNNNNNNAANGNNAAANNNNNNNUUAACUGCGAGACCCACAAGUCGAGCAGGUACGAAAGUAGGUCUUAGUGAUCCGGUGGUUCUGUAUGGAAGGGCCAUCGCUCAACGGAUAAAAGGUACUCUGGGGAUAACAGGCUGAUACCGCCCAAGAGUUCAUAUCGACGGCGGUGUUUGGCACCUCGAUGUCGGCUCAUCUCAUCCUGGGGCUGAAGCAGGUCCCAAGGGUAUGGCUGUUCGCCAUUUAAAGAGGUACGCGAGCUGGGUUUAGAACGUCGUGAGACAGUUCGGUCCCUAUCUACCGUGGGCGCUGGAAAUUUGAGAGGAUCUGCUCCUAGUACGAGAGGACCAGAGUGGACGAACCUCUGGUGUACCGGUUGUGACGCCAGUCGCAUCGCCGGGUAGCUAUGUUCGGAAGGGAUAACCGCUGAAAGCAUCUAAGCGGGAAGCCUACCUCAAGAUAAGAUUUCCCUAGGACUUUAUGUCCUCUAAAGAGCCGUUCGAGACUAGGACGUUGAUAGGUUGGAUGUGGAAGCAUAGUGAUAUGUGAAGCUGACCAAUACUAAUUGCUCGUGAGGCUUGACUAUACAACACCCAAGCAGUUG